rnacentral:rRNA from 1 species
GACGAACGCUGGCGGCGUGCUUAACACAUGCAAGUCGAACGGAAAGGCCCUGCUUGCAGGGUACUCGAGUGGCGAACGGGUGAGUAACACGUGGGUGAUCUGCCCUGCACUUCGGGAUAAGCCUGGGAAACUGGGUCUAAUACCUGAUAGGAGCCAUUUUUAGUGUGAUGGUUGGAAAGUUUUUUCGGUGUAGGAUGAGCUCGCGGCCUAUCAGCUUGUUGGUGGGGUAAUGGCCUACCAAGGCGGCGACGGGUAGCCGGCCUGAGAGGGUGGACGGCCACAUUGGGACUGAGGUACGGCCCAGACUCCGACGGGAGACAGCAGCGGGGAAGAUUGCACAAUGGGCGCAAGCCUGAUGCAGCGAGGCCGCGUGGGGGAUGACGGCCUUCGGGUUGUAAACUCCUUUCGCUAGGGACGAAGCUUUUUGUGACGGUACCUAGAUAAGAAGCACCGGCUAACUACGUG